ACGUCUUCUCUCAGGUGGUAAUGCCAGCAUAUUGGUCACUGUGACAGGAAGUGAAACAGUAAAGGUCACUGAAGUCACACUUUUGACAGCUCAGGUCCAACAGAGGUCAAAGGAUCAUUGCAGUCAUUAGGAAGCAGCGAUUUCCUGGUGACCUUUAGUGGAAUUCCAGCAGGUGAGUUUGUGCUUGUCUUGAAAGGAGAGGACAGCAACUCCACUUCCAGGUCCACUUCAAGCAGCUUCCAGAGACAAGCAUCCACACAGAUCAAGACCUCCAGCAUCUCUGUCACUGCCCAAGCCAAUAAUACCAACAUCGAGCAGG